rnacentral:rRNA from 1 species
UGGCUGCAGUCGAGAAUUUUGGGCAAUGGACGAAAGUCUGACCCAGCAAUGCCGCGUGCGGGAUGAAGGUCUUCGGAUUGUAAACCGCUGUCGAGGGGGACGAAUUUUGACGGUACCCCUGGAGGAAGCCACGGCUAACUACGUGCCAGCAGCCGCGGUAAUACGUAGGUGGCGAGCGUUGUUCGGAUUUAUUGGGCGUAAAGGGUCCGCAGGGGGUUGAUUAAGUCUGACGUGAAAUCCCUGAGCUCAACUCAGGAAUGGCGUUGGAGACUGGUUGACUGGAGUAUUGGAGAGGUAAUUGGAAUUCCAGGUGUAGCGGUGGAAUGCGUAGAUAUCUGGAAGAACAUCGAAAGCGAAGGCAGAUUACUGGACAAUGACUGACCCUCAGGGACGAAAGCAUGGGGAGCAAACAGGAUUAGAUACCC